CCUUCGGGGGAACGAUAACGGCGUCGAGCGGCGGACGGGUGAGUAAUGCCUAGGAAAUUGCCCUGAUGUGGGGGAUAACCAUUGGAAACGAUGGCUAAUACCGCAUGAUGCCUACGGGCCAAAGAGGGGGACCUUCGGGCCUCUCGCGUCAGGAUAUGCCUAGGUGGGAUUAGCUAGUUGGUGAGGUAAGGGCUCACCAAGGCGACGAUCCCUAGCUGGUCUGAGAGGAUGAUCAGCCACACUGGAACUGAGACACGGUCCAGACUCCUACGGGAGGCAGCAGUGGGGAAUAUUGCACAAUGGGCGCAAGCCUGAUGCAGCCAUGCCGCGUGUGUGAAGAAGGCCUUCGGGUUGUAAAGCACUUUCAGUCGUGAGGAAGGUGGUGUAGUUAAUAGCUGCAUUAUUUGACGUUAGCGACAGAAGAAGCACCGGCUAACUCCGUGCCAGCAGCCGCGGUAAUACGGAGGGUGCGAGCGUUAAUCGGAAUUACUGGGCGUAAAGCGCAUGCAGGUGGUUUGUUAAGUCAGAUGUGAAAGCCCGGGGCUCAACCUCGGAAUA
rnacentral:rRNA from 1 species